rnacentral:rRNA from 1 species
CCUACGGGAGGCAGCAGUGAGGGAUAUUGCACAAUGGGGGAGACCCUGAUGCAGCGACGCCGCGUGUGGGAAGACGGUCCUCUGGAUUGUAAACCACUGUCCCCAGGGACGAAGGUGACGGUACCUGGGGAGGAAGCUCCGGCUAACUACGUACCAGCAGCCGCGGUAAUACGUAGGCAGCGAGCGUUGUCCGGAAUUACUGGGUGUAAAGGGAGCGUAGGCGGAGAUGCAAGUUGGGUGGCAAAACUACCGGCUCAACUGGUAGUCGCACUUAAAACUGCAGCUCUUGAGUGAAGUAGAGGUAGGCGGAAUGCGUAGUGUAGCGGUGAAAUGCGUAGAUAUCACGAGGAACCCCAGUGGCGAAGGCGGCCUGCUGGGCUCUUACUGACGCUGAGGCUCGAAAGUGUGGGGAGCAAACAGGAUUAGAUACCCUAGUAGUC